CCCUUAGAUGUUCUGGGCCGCACGCGCGCUACACUGAUGCAUUCAACGAGUCUAAAACCUGCUCUGAUAGGGGUGGGUAAUCUUUUGAAUGUGCAUCGUGAUUGGGAUAGAUGAUUGCAAUUUUUCAUCUUCAACGAGGAAUGCCUAGUAAACGAAAGUCAUCAGCUUGCAUUGAUUACGUCCCUGCCCUUUGUACACACCGCCCGUCGCUCCUACCGAUUGAAUGAUCCGAUGAAUAUCAUGGAUUGAGGAUGUAAGCAGGUUCGCCUGUCUUCAUCUUCGAGAAGUGAAGUAAAUCUUAUCAUUUAGAGGAAGGAGAAGUCGUAACA
rnacentral:rRNA from 1 species